rnacentral:tRNA from 1 species
GGCGAAGUGAUGGAAUCGGUAGACGUAGCGGACUUAAAAUCCGCUGGCUCGUAAGGGCCGUGUGGGUUCGAGUCCCACCUUCGCCA